ACUCCUACGGGAGGCAGCAGUGGGAAUCUUAGACAAUGGGCGCAAGCCUGAUCUAGCCGAUGCCGCGUGAUCGAUGAAGGCCUUAGGGUUGUAAAGAUCUUUCAGAAUGGGAAGAUAAUGACGGUACCAUCAGAAGAAGCCCGCUAACUCCGUGCCAGCAGCCGCGGUAAUACGGAGGGCGUAGCGUUAUUCGGAAAUUACUGGGCGUAAAGCGCACGUAGGCGGAUCAGAAA
rnacentral:rRNA from 1 species